UUUGAAAUAGUUCAUUUCUUUAAACUAAUUACUGCAAUCAAAUAUGAUAUCAAUAAUUUAUUAAAAGCACAAACUUAUAGAAAAAGCCAAGAAUUCAUGAUUCCACCUAUUCCUUUAAUCCAUUUUCUUUUCUUUAAAAAAAAAAAAUCACUUUCUCACCAUUAUUAUUCAAUCUCGUGAACUAGAGACUUAAGUAUCAAUCAAUAGCAUUUACGAUUAUAAGCAAACAAUAUCCUACUAAAUUCAAGAUACAAAUGCAAUAACAGUAACCCUCUAUCGAAUUGCCCAGACACAGCAUAAUUUCACAAAUUAAAAACACAAAUCUGAGCAUUCCAUUGAUUUAUUGUUGCAAACUCAGAAGAACAGAAAGCAGUGCACCAGGCACGGUCAUUUAAAUUACAUUAACUCGCAAUAUUUAAAACUCAAUCAACCCCUUUCCUUCAAUAGCUUAACCCACGAUCCAAAAACAAACCAAUCAAACGCAACACCAUAAACUGCGAUCCUGCUUAAAUAAUUAAAAUCCGAAAACAAAUUCCAUUUAUUUGAAGAAAAAAAUGAAAAUUCGAUACCUAUCAGACAUGGUAGCUAUAG
rnacentral:misc_RNA from 1 species